UACGAAGGGGGCUAGCGUUGCUCGGAAUCACUGGGCGUAAAGGGUGCGUAGGCGGGUCUUUGAGUCAGGGGUGAAAUCCUGGAGCUCAACUCCAGAACUGCCUUUGAUACUGAAGAUCUUGAGUUCGGGAGAGGUGAGUGGAACUGCGAGUGUAGAGGUGAAAUUCGUAGAUAUUCGGAAGAACACCAGUGGCGAAGGCGGCUCACUGGUCCGGUACUGACGCUGAGGUGCGAAAGCGUGGGGAGCAAACAGG
rnacentral:rRNA from 1 species